AUUUGUUUGAAAAACUACUAGAGUCCGAUGCUGCUGGAAGAUUCUACUGGAACUUCCAGGAGCUUUUAAACAUUGACAUAGUGCAUUUAUCUCCACUUUGGUCAUCAUUGAACUAUUGAUGGUCAAUUCCAGAAGAAAUCCCACCAUCCACAAAAUCAUGAUGUGCCUCAUGAUUAGUGAAAUGAGGCAUGUUUAUUACCCCCUUCCUGUGUAUUUCUGCUUUGAAGUUUUGAAGAGGACCAGAAGCCAGAGAGUAGGAAUGUACAGGCUCUUUUAACAAUUUUAUGGAUGCAUUGACCUAUGAUGAUGUACAUGUGAACUUCACUCGAGAAGAAUGGGCUUUGCUGGAUCCUUCACAGAAGAGUCUUUACAAAGAUGUGAUGCAG
ensembl:lncRNA